rnacentral:lncRNA from 1 species
GAAGACAUUAUUUGAAUGAACAGCCCCGACCUCAAGGCACAUCUCAGCUGGCUUGCCAGCACUUCUGCAACCUCGUGUGGAAGAGCGGUCCAAACUUCAUGGAAACUAACCAAUGACCUUACCUCUCUCAUAAGGGUGUGAGGACUGCUCACCUAUCAGGAAACCACAAGAUUUCAAAACUACCAUGAGGAGAACCAGAUCACAUGCCACUGAAAAGUGCGCCCUGGAAGUUGGCACAACCACCUCCUGGAUGACCUCACUCCUGGCCAGGAGGGCCUCUGUGAAACUCUAGGCCCAGCAGUGCUUGACUUGACAUGCUGGGUCUGGGUUAGCCAGAGGCACAGCCUCCAGAGGCAUGGCGACAAUGAGGGUCUGCUCUUUGAGGAGAUUGGAGAGCUGGCACCGUUCUCCAAGGGACUACAUGGGAACAGCUUCUGCACAGAUCUUGGUAUCUCCUAAUUCUCAUGCCAGGGUCCCCUGAAGCCAAGGCACACCUUGCUGCAUGGAGGCCCAUCCUGAACAUCACAGUGAGCAUGAAGGAUGGAGGAUGUCAACUACAAGGCCCUUCAUUCACACGUCCCUUCCCACCCCAAUCCCACCCUCCAAUAAGAGCUUUGGUAGCCAGGCUGGCAGAUCACAUUUCCCCAGUGCUAGAGCUGAGAGAAGCAAGCUAAGACAAAACAUCUUGAGAAGAACUUAAAUAAUAGCCAGAGGGAUGCCAGAGCAAAAGCUAAGGAAAUUACAGGUAGCCAGAAACUAUAGAAAAGAGAGGAAAGGGAGAGGAUGUGAAAUGUCAGAGGAGAGGCAGAAUCUUACAAAUGUCCCAAGCAGAGAAAGGAGGUGUCACUUUCUUGGGUGUGUCUGACCUGGUUGUGGGCAGACAGGAGAGAAGGAGCUAAUGUCACCAAGCUGGCCCCAACACCUCCUUCCUCCAUGCAAAUGGAAGACUGAAAUCAGACUGGUCUGCAAUAGGCCACCCAGAGGCUUGGCAGUUUGAAAAAGUAGAUCUGAUUGCUAAAUGUGGAACUGAGUAUUAUACAAUCUGAGCUGGUCCAGUGAAAUCAGCACUUCAAUAUUCACGAGGGAGGUGUCUACCACCCUAGAGGAAAGUCUUAAUUGUGCAAAGAGGCAGAUGUGAGAGACCCAGAGUUGGGCCACCUUGUCCUAGGCCAUUUCCCCACAUUUCAACUUUUAGCAUGGGCUCUCCCACCACCCUCCAUGAGAAAAGGCACCUCCUUCCUCCCCUCAUCCCACCCCUUCCCAAUGCACUGCAUAGGUGAGGGAGGCAACAGAGCCAUGCCCAGUCCUAGAACAGAAAUGUGGACCAAGCAUACCGCAUUCAAACCCUGGAUGCGCACUAGUGAAAGAUUCAUUGAUUGUUUGUUGAAGGUGCAGCCAGAGGACAGGCCCAGGGGCCACUCCCCAGGCCAGCUGUGCCAGGCAGCACCUGCUGCCACACCACUGUCUUCUGCUCCAGCCCCUCUGGAGCCUAUGUCUUGUUCAUUGUUAUGGAAGCUCUUUCAUGCCACAGACAAAGAACCUUAACAAUCACAACUGACUUCUUUGUUAAUGGCAGUUUAUUGUUGUUAAAUUAAUAUUCCGGUUCUCACAUGAUCAAAUUCUCUGACUAGAAUCCAAGAAUAUAUUAUAAUCUAUAUUUUCUCAGAACCAGAGAAGAAAAGGUAGGAGAAUAAUUCUUAAUAGCAGGUCAACUUCUUCUCUGUCAAAGAACUCACAUGAUGGUGAUUUCCAGUGGACAGAGAAUUAAACAGGACCCAGGUGUCCAAGUGAAGCUCUGCAGGUAGAACCCCAGUGCCGAAGUCCACAUGGACACGGAGCCACCUAGCACUGGCAGCCGCCCAUUCUCUGGCAGGAAAUGAAGGAGAGAAGACCAAAGGCAAGACUUCUUCCAGAGACUCCAGCAAGCCACUGUACCAACUAUGCCUUAUUCAAAUGGUGUGCAGUAUAUUCUUCAUUAUAAUAAAAGGUCUACCCAUACAAUCACCCAGAGAGGUAACUAUUUUUACUAGUUGACAAAAAAAAGAGUAAGAAAGUUGAAAUCAUAAAUUCAGUUAAUAAAAUGUAUGACCUAGAUUCUAUAGCACAUGCUAGAAGGGGGAUCAAAAAUCUAGAUCCACGCUAGCAGCCAGUAAAAAAAGAGAGGCACAAUCAGUUAACAGGAUCCGCAGAUCAGUAUGGUAAAAUCAAAUCAAUUGCCUAGGAGAAGCAUAAUUAUUCCGGAGCAAGGGAGAAACUUCACGUUUUCAUAGACAGAUUUUGUGUGAUGGGAUCAGCAAUAUCCAUGACACCCUUAUAGUAAACAGAGCCCAGUAGAACUCAUUACUUUUGUGUGAUGUUCUCAGAAUAGUUCAGAGGCUAGUGGACAAUAUGGGCCAAAGGUGAAAGCAAUUCCAUGGAGACUAAUAUAAUAUGGUCCAGGCACAGUGCUGUAAAUACACAGCAAGCACCUUGUGCUCAACAUGUGCCAGGCACUGUUCAGAGCACUUUGACAUAAUGUUUGAGUUUCUUACAAAAUGUUUCUAUUGAGUAAUUAAAAUAUAUUUGAAAAUCUAGAAGCACUGUUAGAGGACCUAGAACAGUGGUUCCUCAUAUUUGCCCCUCCUAUAACAGAUUCGAGGAGCCAACUCCUUUCCUAGCAGGCAUACUGGUCCAUACAGCAGUGGUGUGCAUGGCAGACAGGUCCCUCCCCCACCCCAAUCACUGUUCUAGAGGAACAGUGCAUCUUCCUCUUCUACAGGUCCUUCAAAAUCACCGUUCUCCAGCAAGCUUUUUAAAGGUAAACAGCAGUGAAAGAUAAUGUUCCAGAUGGAAACCCACAGUAUCACUAUCCUUUGCUUUUGAUGAAGUCAGAGCCAUGUGUUUUCAUGAUCUAUAUAGGACUAGGAUGUUAAAAAAAACUGCGUUCUUCAGAAGGGCAUAGGCCAGGAUCAAAUGCCACCUCUGCCUGGAGAAAAACUUGGAAAGCAUCUGAGAACAGGGCCAAGAAGAGGAUUGUCUUGCUGAAUGCUAAUACUCAUCAGCCUAAGCAUUUGUCCCUGACUCCCACCUAGUGGCUUCUUCCAGCACUGCACAGGGACAAAGAACCACCACUGAUGCCACCUGAGCCCGGCCCAGGAGCCCCUUGGGAGCUGAGCGCAGAAAGAAAGCACGGACACACCUACUCCUUUCUCAUCUCUCACUCAAGUUCACACCUGUCACAGGGGAGGCAAAGUCCUGGCCAACAGCACUCCUACUUCUGCCAACUGUGCUGGCCCAGCUGUGCUUUAGCUCUGCCAGGACCCAGAAGAAGAGGAACCAGCCCUACCACAAAGAAACAGCUACCCAAUAGGAGGCACUAGGACUAGGAGUGCCCUUUUCAUGUAAGACAUAGAGAGCCCAGGACUAGUCUGCUAUUUGUCCUAUUCUAACUAUGGACCACUCCUCCACAUCUACCCCUGCUUCUCAGCAGCCCAUUCUUCUGAUGGACCACAGAUGCUCCAGUGCCAGAAGAUCUGCAGUCCCAGAUGAGCAGCAGCAGUACAAGAUACAUUUCCCACUAUGUAAUCCCUCCCCUCUGCUAACAGUUGAUUCACUCUGGGGUAGACACUGGACCUAAGGUGUGCAUCCAUAGCUUGUGAAUAAAUUAAAAGUCUUUAAUGUCUAUUUCUUUUACACUUAACGCUUCUUCAUUGAUCUGGAGGACUUCGCUCAAAAAUAAUUAACUGGGUCAAUCAGAUCCUUUUCCUUAGAAACUUGAGUUUAAAAAGAAAACAUAUUGAGAAAACAUGGAAAGAAUUUGUCAGCCAACAAGAGUAAACUCAAACCUAACAGAAGUCUGUGGCAGUCACUCUGAGCUGUCUUCCUGAGGGCCACUUUCCCCCACUCUAUCAUCAUUCUUUUCUGACAGAGGCCACCUCCCUCUAUGGCAGGUGGAAGUGCCAAUACUUGCUUUCCCAGCCUCCCUUGCAGCUAGGGUAUGCACAGGUGAACAAAUUCUGGCCACUGCAGCUAAAUGGGAAGUCUGCUAGGGGGUUGCAGAGAGUUUCCCUCCUGAUUAAAAACAACAAAAACAUACUAAAGAAAUGAUUCUCUACCUCUGCACACAGUUGUAUAGUUGUGUCUUGUAAGGACAUGUUGCCUGCAGUUCUAGUGGCCAUCUUGCAACUGUUAUGGGAUGUGCCUGAGCAAAAACCACCCCUUGAGGAUGGCAAAGAAAAAAGAUGGGAAGAACCAGUACCCAUGAGGUCACUCAGAGCCACUUAUUUAACCCUGGGACUGUCUGUCUUCUGGACAUCUUGUUAGUGGUCUAUCUUGUUAUUGUUUACAUCAUUUUACUGGAAAAAGUAUCCCAACUGAUAUAGGUGUCACGAGGCAGAGUUGGACCAUGUCAGGCCAGUGUCAUGGCCAAGCAGGAAUUCUAGGUGUGAACAAUGCCAAUGUGUCUACAGAGGAGAAGGGAGCAAAUAUGCAAGGGAUGCACAGACAUCAUGCAUGAGAAGGCGCUGGGCAGUGCUGCCUAAUCCUUCAAACCAUCUUACUAGUUCCAACUCCAAUCCUAACCCACAUGGGACUUUAAAAAAAUAAUUCAACUGAGUCUCCAGGGUUGAACGCAGCGCUUCUUAAACUUUAAUGUGCUUACGAGUCACCUGGAGAUGGUUCAGCAAGUGUGAGAUGGGAGCCCAUAGUCUGCAUUUUUCACAAGCUACGAGGGGAUAAGAAAGCUGCUGAGCCACAGACCAAAAUUUGAGCAGCAACAACUUCUAACUAAAAGUGUCAAUCUAAAGCACUUGAUGAGUUUGCUCACCAGUCUGAAUUCUAUUCCCAUACAGAUUAAGACCUUGUGUGGAAUGUGGAUGUGCUGAUCAUAAAAUGACUUUAGGUCUGCAAGAUCUAAAACACAGACAGGCUAUCUCUGUCCAGAAUAAAAACCUUAACAUGCAGCCCUUACAACUUGGAAUGUUUAUAUGAACUUCUGACCCCCUAAAAGUACUUGCUUCGCCAUGCAUAGGUUAGUGAUGGCCAUAAUUACUCUAGAAGAUUUAUGAAUGCAAUCACUUUUAGGGAAAUCUCUUCAAAGGAAGGCAUUCCCUAAACCAUUGUAAAUAACCCCAAGACAAAACUGCAAAUCUGAAUGCAAGCUGUUUUCUACCAAUGCAUCUUGAAAAAACCAACAACAAUGUCAACUGCCUUUGGAUCAAAAAUAUUUUUAAUAAAUUUCCAAAAACUGUUUUAAAAGUUAGAUUCAUUGUUUAUACCAAAUGCUAAAAAAUAUUGUUGAUGGAUUGGAGUUAACCAUAAAAUAAAAAUCAAACCAUAAACUUACUAGAGGAAGAUACAGGUGAACAGUUAUCUGUUCUGAGGUUGGGAAAGGCGUUGCUAGGGCCAAAAGGAAAACAAGAAACCAAAAUAGGAAAGACUGAUAGAGUCAAGUACAGUUGUUUAAAAUUCUGUGUCUCAGAAAGCACCUAAACGUUAUUUAAAAACAGAGUGAGGAAAAUAUAUGCUACAAAUAAAGCAAACGGCUAAUAAAAGGUCAUUCAAAUAGAUAAGAAAAACACUAAAAUCCUAAUAGAAAACAACAGCAUAGACUACGAAUAGACUAGAGUGGGAGAGGUGCAUCCAAGAGGCUCAAGGUGAUUUCUGGGUGUACAGGGAAAAAUAUGGGAACUAUUUUUUAACCUAUCCUUUAAAACUCUAUUUUGGUGAACAGUGGAUACCCUAAAUACCCUGACUGACUUGAUCACUAUGUGUUAUAUACAUGUAAGGAAAUUUCACAUGUACCCCAC